ensembl:lncRNA
AAAGAGAGACAGAGGAAGUGCCAACACAGAGGUAACCAUGAAAAUUCUAGAGUUUGGGACUUCCGCACGUCUUCACAGCACUUGAGGAUGCACUCCUCAGUGCCCAGGAAAAUGGAUAAGAACUGUGAAAUACUCGACCAGUUCAACAGACGUCUUCAGGCCUUGACCAGAUGCAUGGCGAUGCUCACCUUGGAACUGCCUGAGGGCAGCGAUGAUUCCACCAGCUCGGUCACAGUGAGUGAAAACCGCUGCUCUUUGAGGACAUCGCUGUAUCCGUUGAGCACCAGUUGGGGGGAAAUGGAGGCACCUUACCGACACCCAAAAGCCCAGGAGAACUUGGAAAGCUCCAUCCCAGAAAGGAAAGCGGAGCAGGGACUGGGCCUCAGUGAUCAGAGAAAGCCUGAUGUGAUGGUGGCUCCCACGGUGCAGGACCUGCCCUUAGAGGAUGAGGCUAUGCAAAGUCAUUUGGAGCAUCCUAACAUAAAAAUGCAGGCACCACAGUUCCUGAAGAGGAGUUUCUCAGAGCCCGUCCUGGGUCAGAGAGACUCCCAGCUUCCCCAUCCUCUGAGGCACUCAAGGAGGCCCACUUACUCGCUCUUCCAGCGUGGGCAUGGGCAAGCUCUGGCAAGGAGGUCAGCAGCAUGGGCCCUUGUCCCACGGCGAAAAUCUGCCCCCGAGACAGAUAAGUGCAGACAAGAAACAAGGAUUCCAGUCCACAUUGCCUGCUGCAGAAUCUAUGAAGGCCCUGAUGACCAUCAGAUCAAGAUGAUGCAUCUGUGGCUGGAGCAAUAUGAAUAUGUUGAGAGGCGAAAGUUGGAAUUUUAUAGAGACUACUACACCCAGCCUAACAACGAAGGAUCCCAGGGCGUGGCUCCAUCUGACACUGCAGCCCCGGUUGUUGCAGGAGGAGCAACAGUUCGAGAGAGGAAUUCACCCGAGGUCAAGGCCAGUGAGCAACAGGACAAGAAAAAUACCACUGCUGCCCAGCAGCCAGAGGGGCUCCCUGAACGUACCCUCGUGGAGAGUUCUUCGGUUCUGCCAUGGAGGCGUCUGCCACAGGGUAGACCAUUCAGACCCCAAGCAGCACACGCAGAGAUGACGCCCAGGCAAGAAGCAGCAGAACACACGACUCCUAGACCAGAGACACCACCUACGCUGUGCAGAAACUGCUGUGCACCAGCCCUCCUGUGCCAUUUCAUUCAGAAUGCCGGGGCCAAGCUCCGAGCUGCCAGCAUGGCCCUCUAUUCCCUGAUCAGAAAGGCAACUAAGAAGCUCUCAAAGAAGGGAAGAGAGCCCAUCAUGAAAAACAGAUCCUUAGAGCAGGCCAGGCUGGACACAGAUCAACGUAGGAGCAGACGAUCACUGAGUCUACUGGCCAAAAAGAAAAACCCACGUACACCUCAGGAGGCAAUGAGGAAGGACAUGGUGGCAUCUCAAGAUAAGACUUUCAGCAAUGCCAGUGAGGCCAGAGGUGCCGAAAAAGCAUUGAGCCGGGGUGGUAGCAGCCACAGGCACCUGGACGUGCUGGCUCCUGUUGCCCGUAGAGAGCCAGCCAACGUGCUGCUACCUCAGAGAAGGCUGCUCUUGGAGACUGAAGCUCCUGCCCCAUCUCAGUCUGUUCUAGCAGAUGUCCAGGCAGGCACAGCUGCAGUGAGUAGUGGAUUACUGCCAGAUGCUACCAGGGGGCAGAAGCAGAAGGGCAAGGGACACACCCAGGACAAGCCAGCUCCUCCAAGAAGAAAGUCCCCAAAGAAAAAGCAGUCCUCCAGUGAGCAGAGACCCUCAGGUCUGCCACAGCUUCCAAAUCUCGCUGGGACCGACAUUCCAAUCUCCCUCCUGCAGGAGCUUUUCACAGCACUUAGAGAUUUGAAGAAAGCCAGACAAACUGCUGAUGAGCUGCAGAAGCAGGUGCUGGCUUCCUUCUCAAAUCAGCCCACAAACAAUGCCAAGUAACCGAGGACAGAUACGGCAGCAGAGGAACCUGGGGCGAGGACACAGAGUGGAAGAGAAGGGCGAGGGAUGCACCCAGAACAGAUCUGACUAUGGGUCACUCUGCCCUACAUGCACCAAAGCUCCAUGCUGCUGCCAGCCAGGAGGUGUAAGCUCCCAGCGAUUGGCUGCACCUGCAACUGCAGCCCCAGGUGCAGGAAGAGAAGUGACUGUGAGAGAAGAAUCCCUCCAUGAGGACAGGGACAAGAGGCAGCAGACCUGAAAAAUGCUCCUGCCGAUCAGCAGCCAGAGGGGCUCCUUUGGCUAAGGACAUCAACCCCUGUAAUUGCAGGAGGGAGCCCACCAGGACACACAGUCAGUGAGCAGCAGAUCUCUGUCAUGCCCUUCCAGGGUGCAGGAGCUCUCCCUCUUAAGUGACGUCACGGGUGGUUAUCCCCUCUUUCCUGUGUAAGAGCAGCAGCUGCAGCUCCUCUGCUCACUACUCAGCCAUCCUUGCAUCCUUGCGUGGACAGCUCUGUUGCCAUCUUCUACGGAGAGAACAGAGUGGCUGUCCUGGUCCCUGAGGGCAGGGACCCGGGCCUGGCAUUCCCCGAUGCUUUCAGCAUGGACUGAGAGCAGUGCCAGUCCUUCAAGGCAGCAAAGGGCAAGAAGGCAAUGAUGUUGGGCGUCCACAGUGGGACUGAGAAGAUAGAGGCCCCAGUGCUUCUUCUGGCUGCAGUAGGACAGGCAGCGACCCUGGGAACAGCAGAAAGAUGCCUCCGUGGGUACCACCUCUCCUUGCUGUGGCAUACUGUGGAUCAGUCUCCUUCAAAACCGCUGCUUCUCUUUCAAGGAAAAUCAGGGCUAUGGCAUGCUGCUGACCCAAUAGCCCUGGAAGGAGAAAGAGAGACAGAGGAAGUGCCAACACAGAGGUAACCAUGAAAAUUCUAGAGGUGAGCAGCCCUGGGCAACGGCCCUGCAAAGACACCCCCUGGCCCCACAUGUCCACCACUCCAUCACGUGCUCUCCAUCCACUCACUUUGUCUCCUUUGCCAGCAGUUUGGGACUUCCGCACGUCUUCACAGCACUUGAGGAUGCACUCCUCAGUGCCCAGGAAAAUGGAUAAGAACUGUGAAAUACUCGACCAGUUCAACAGACGUCUUCAGGCCUUGACCAGAUGCAUGGCGAUGCUCACCUUGGAACUGCCUGAGGGCAGCGAUGAUUCCACCAGCUCGGUCACAGU